GUGGGGAAUUUUGGACAAUGGGCGAAAGCCUGAUCCAGCAAUGCCGCGUGUGUGAAGAAGGCCUUCGGGUUGUAAAGCACUUUUGGCAGGGAAGAAACAGUGCGUGCUAAUACCAUGCGCGAAUGACGGUACCUGCAGAAUAAGCACCGGCUAACUACGUGCCAGCAGCCGCGGUAAUACGUAGGGUGCAAGCGUUAAUCGGAAUUACUGGGCGUAAAGCGUGCGCAGGCGGCUUUGUAAGACGGAUGUGAAAGCCCCGGGCUCAACCUGGGAAGUGCAUUCGUGACUGCAAGGCUGGAGUGUGUCAGAGGGAGGUGGAAUUCCGCGUGUAGCAGUGAAAUGCGUAGAGAUGCGGAGGAACACCGAUGGCGAAGGCAGCCUCCUGGGAUAACACUGACGCUCAGGCACGAAAGCGUGGGGAGCAAACAGGAUUAGAAACCCCUGUAGUCC
rnacentral:rRNA from 1 species